AUUGAACGCUGGCGGCAUGCCUUACACAUGCAAGUCGAACGGCAGCACGGGAGCAAUCCUGGUGGCGAGUGGCGAACGGGUGAGUAAUACAUCGGAACGUGCCCAGUAGUGGGGGAUAACCCGGCGAAAGCCGGACUAAUACCGCAUACGACCUACGGGUGAAAGCGGGGGAUCGCAAGACCUCGCGCUAUCGGAGCGGCCGAUGUCAGAUUAGCUUGGUUGGUGGGGAAAAGCCUACCAAGGCGACGAUCUGUAGCUGGUCUGAGAGGACGACCAGCCACACUGGGACUGAGACACGGCCCAGACUCCUACGGGAGGCAGCAGUGGGGAAUUUUGGACAAUGGCGCAAGCCUGAUCCAGCCAUGCCGCGU
rnacentral:rRNA from 1 species